rnacentral:rRNA from 1 species
GAUGAACGCUGGCGGCGUGCCUAAUACAUGCAAGUCGAGCGAACGGACGAGAAGCUUGCUCCUCUAAUGUUAGCGGCGGACGGGUGAGUAACACGUGGAUAACCUACCUAUAAGACUGGGAUAACUUCGGGAAACCGUAGCUAAUACCGGAUAAUAUUUUGAACCGCAUGGUUCAAAAGUGAAAGACGGUUUUGCUGUCACUUAUAGAUGGAUCCGCGCUGCAUUAGCUAGUUGGUAAGGUAACGGCUUACCAAGGCAACGAUGCAUAGCCGACCUGAGAGGGUGAUCGGCCACACUGGAACUGAGACACGGUCCAGACUCCUACGGGAGGCAGCAGUAGGGAAUCUUCCGCAAUGGGCGAAAGCCUGACGGAGCAACGCCGCGUGAGUGAUGAAGGUCUUCGGAUCGUAAAACUCUGUUAUUAGGGAAGAACAUAUGUGUAAGUAACUGUGCACAUCUUGACGGUACCUAAUCAGAAAGCCACGGCUAACUACGUG